GAAAUGCGAUAAGUAAUGCGAAUUGCAGAAUUCCAGUGAGUCAUCGAAUCUUUGAACGCACAUUGCGCCCUUUGGUAUUCCGAAGGGCAUGCCUGUUCGAGCGUCAUUAUCACCCCUCAAGCCCUCGGCUUGGUGUUGGACGGUUUGGUGGAGACCCCCUUUGCGGGCUUCUACCCCUCCCAAAGACAAUGACGGCGGCCUCGUUGGACCCCCGGUACACUGAGUUCUUCACGGGACACGUAUCGGACACACGGGUUUACGGGACACGGUCUGCCUCCCCUCAGGGAGAAUCUUUUUUUAUCAAGGUUGACCUCGGAUCAGGUAGGGAUACCCGCUGAACUUAA
rnacentral:misc_RNA from 1 species